rnacentral:rRNA from 1 species
GACGAACGCUGGCGGCGUGCUUAACACAUGCAAGUCGAACGGAAAGGCCCUGCUUUUGUGGGGUGCUCGAGUGGCGAACGGGUGAGUAACACGUGAGUGACCUGCCCUUGACUUUGGGAUAACUUCAGGAAACUGGGGCGAAUACCGGAUAGGAGCUCCUGCUGCAUGGUGUGGGUUGGCAAGUUUCGGCGGUUGGGGAUGGACUCGCGGCUUAUCAGCUUGUUGGUGGGGUAGUGUCUUACCAAGGCUUUGACGGGUAGCCGGCCUGAGAGGGUGACCGGCCACAUUGGGACUGAGAUACGGCACAGACUCCUACGGGAGGCAGCAGAGGGGAAUAUUGUACUAUGGGCGGAAGCCUAAUGCAGCAACGCCGCGUGCGGGAUGACGGCCUUCGGUUUGUAAACCGCUUUCGCCUGUGACGAAGCGUGAGUGACGGUAAUGGGUAAAGAAGCACCGGCUAACUACGUG